GGAUAUGGCUCAGUGGUAGAGUGCUUGCCUAGCAUGCAUGAAGCCCUGGGUUCGAUUCCUCAGUACCA
rnacentral:tRNA from 1 species